UACGUAGGGAGCAAGCGUUGUCCGGAAUCAUUGGGCGUAAAGCGCGCGUAGGUGGCCUCAUAAGUCCGCUGUGAAAGUCAAGGGCUCAACCCUUGAAUGCCGGUGGAUACUGUGAGGCUAGAGUACGGAAGAGGCGAGUGGAAUUCCUGGUGUAGCGGUGGAAUGCGCAGAUAUCAGGAGGAACACCAAUAGCGAAGGCAGCUCGCUGGGACGUUACUGACGCUGAGGCGCGAAGAACGUGGGGAGCGAACAGG
rnacentral:rRNA from 1 species